rnacentral:rRNA from 1 species
UACGAAGGGGGCUAGCGUUGUUCGGAAUCACUGGGCGUAAAGGGCGCGUAGGCGGCUUUGUAAGUCGGGGGUGAAAGCCUGUGGCUCAACCACAGAAUUGCCUUCGAUACUGCAUGGCUUGAGACCGGAAGAGGUAAGUGGAACUGCGAGUGUAGAGGUGAAAUUCGUAGAUAUUCGGAGGAACACCAGUGGCGAAGGCGGCUCACUGGUCCGGUACUGACGCUGAGGUGGCGAAAGCGUGGGGAGCAAACAGG